rnacentral:rRNA from 1 species
CCUACGGGUGGCUGCAGUGAGGAAUAUUGGUCAAUGGCCGGUAGGCUGAACCAGCCAAGUAGCGUGAAGGAUGACUGCCCUACGGGUUGUAAACUUCUUUUAUAAGGGAAUAAAGUGCGGCACGUGUGCUUUUUUGCAUGUACUUUAUGAAUAAGGAUCGGCUAACUCCGUGCCAGCAGCCGCGGUAAUACGGAGGAUCCGAGCGUUAUCCGGAUUUAUUGGGUUUAAAGGGAGCGUAGAUGGGUUGUUAAGUCAGUUGUGAAAGUUUGCGGCUCAACCGUAAAAUUGCAAUUGAUACUGGCAUCCUUGAGUACAGUAGAGGUAGGCGGAAUGCGUGGUGUAGCGGUGAAAUGCUUAGAUAUCACGAAGAACUCCGAUUGCGAAGGCAGCUUACUAAACUGCAACUGACACUGAUGCUCGAAAGUGUGGGUAUCAAACAGGAUUAGAUACCCUUGUAGUC